CUACGGGCUGCUGCAGUGAGGAAUAUUGCACAAUGGAGGAAACUCUGAUGCAGCAACGCCGCGUGGAGGAUGACGCAUUUCGGUGUGUAAACUCCUUUUAUAUGUCAAGAAAAUGACGGUAGCAUAUGAAUAAGCUCCGGCUAACUCCGUGCCAGCAGCCGCGGUAAUACGGAGGGAGCAAGCGUUACUCGGAAUCACUGGGCGUAAAGGACGCGUAGGCGGGAUAGAAAGUCAGGUGUGAAAUCCUAUGGCUCAACCGUAGAACUGCACUUGAAACUUCUAACCUAGAGUAUGGGAGGGGAAGAUGGAAUUAGUGGUGUAGGGGUAAAAUCCGUAGAUAUCACUAGGAAUACCAAAAGCGAAGGCGAUCUUCUGGAACAAUACUGACGCUAAGGCGUGAAAGCGUGGGGAGCAAACAGGAUUAGAUACCCGGGUAGUC
rnacentral:rRNA from 1 species